GAUGAACGCUGGCGGCGUGCCUAAUACAUGCAAGUCGAGCGGACGGACGAGAAGCUUGCUUCUCUGAUGUUAGCGGCGGACGGGUGAGUAACACGUGGAUAACCUACCUAUAAGACUGGGAUAACUUCGGGAAACCGGAGCUAAUACCGGAUAAUAUUUUGAACCGCAUGGUUCAAAAGUGAAAGACGGUCUUGCUGUCACUUAUAGAUGGAUCCGCGCUGCAUUAGCUAGUUGGUAAGGUAACGGCUUACCAAGGCAACGAUGCAUAGCCGACCUGAGAGGGUGAUCGGCCACACUGGAACUGAGACACGGUCCAGACUCCUACGGGAGGCAGCAGUAGGGAAUCUUCCGCAAUGGGCGAAAGACUGACGGAGCAACGCCGCGUGAGUGAUGAAGGUCUUCGGAUCGUAAAACUCUGUUAUUAGGGAAGAACAUAUGUGUAAGUAACUGUGCACAUCUUGACGGUACCUAAUCAGAAAGCCACGGCUAACUACGUG
rnacentral:rRNA from 1 species